rnacentral:rRNA from 1 species
UACGGAGGGGCUAGCGUUGUUCGGAAUUACUGGGCGUAAAGCGCACGUAGGCGGCUUUGUAAGUUAGAGGUGAAAGCCCAGGGCUUAACCCUGGAAUUGCCUUUAAGACUGCAUCGCUAGAAUCGUGGAGAGGUGAGUGGAAUUCCGAGUGUAGAGGUGAAAUUCGUAGAUAUUCGGAAGAACACCAGUGGCGAAGGCGACUCACUGGCCCGGUACUGACGCUGAGGUGGCGAAAAGCGUGGGGAGCAAA